CCUACGGGAGGCAGCAGUGGGGAAUAUUGGACAAUGGGCGAAAGCCUGAUCCAGCCAUGCCGCGUGUGUGAAGAAGGCCUUCGGGUUGUAAGGCACUUUCAGUGGGGAAGAAAGCCUUGGGGCUAAUACCCUCGAGGAAGGACAUCACCCACAGAAGAAGCACCGGCUAACUCCGUGCCAGCAGUCGCGGUAAUACGGAGGGUGCGAGCGUUAAUCGGAAUUACUGGGCGUAAAGCGCGCGUAGGCGGUCUGAUAAGCCGGUUGUGAAAGCCCCGGGCUCAACCUGGGAACGGCAUCCGGAACUGUCAGGCUAGAGUGCAGGAGAGGAAGGUAGAAUUCCCGGUGUAGCGGUGAAAUGCGUAGAGAUCGGGAGGAAUACCAGUGGCGAAGGCGGUCUUCUGGACUGACACUGACGCUGAGGUGCGAAAGCGUGGGUAGCAAACAGGAUUAGAUACCCUAGUAGUC
rnacentral:rRNA from 1 species